GGCUCUUCGAUCUUAUACAAUGAAGAGUCGGACCUGCCCAGUGAAAUAUUUUAACGGCCGCGGUACUCUGACCGUGCAAAGGUAGCAUAAUCAUUUGCCCUAUAAUUGGGGGCUGGUAUGAACGGUUUGACAAGAGCAAUUCUGUCUCUAUAUAAUUUUAUAAAAUUUAAUUUUCAGCUGAAGAAGCCUGAAUUUAAUUAAAAGACAAGAAGACCCUAUCGAGCUUUAAAAUAAUUUAAAGAUAAAUAGAUAUAUUUAUAAAUUUAUAACUUUUAAAAAUUUUGGUUGGGGCGACCCAGGAACAAGUAAAGCUUCUUUAUAUAAGAAAAUAUACAUAUUUUGAUCCAAAAAUUUUGAUUAAAGAAAUUAGUUACCGUAGGGAUAACAGCAUAAUCUUUUUUGAGAGCUCCUAUCGAAAAAAAGGCUUGUGACCUCGAUGUUGGACCAAAAUAUCCUAAAGAUGUAGUCGUCUUUGAGGGUUGGCCUGUUCGACCAUUAAAAUUUAACCUGAUCUGAGUUCACACCG
rnacentral:rRNA from 1 species